GCGCAGCUGCGCGUGCUUAAACAUGCAAGUCGAACGCUGAAGCUUGGUGCUUGCACUGGGUGGAUGAGUGGCGAACGGGUGAGUAAUACGUGAGUAACCUGCCCUUGACUCUGGGAUAAGCCUGGGAAACUGGGUCUAAUACUGGAUACGACAUGUCACCGCAUGGUGGUGUGUGGAAAGGGUUCUACUGGUUUUGGAUGGGCUCACGGCCUAUCAGCUUGUUGGUGGGGUAAUGGCUCACCAAGGCGACGACGGGUAGCCGGCCUGAGAGGGUGACCGGCCACACUGGGACUGAGACACGGCCCAGACUCCUACGGGAGGCAGCAGUGGGGAAUAUUGCACAAUGGGCGAAAGCCUGAUGCAGCGACGCCGCGUGAGGGAUGACGGCCUUCGGGUUGUAAACCUCUUUCAGCACGGAAGAAGCGAAAGUGACGGUACGUGCAGAAUGAAGCGCCGGCUAACUACGUACCAGCAGCUCGCGGUAACACGUAGGGCGCACAGACGUCGUCCGGAUAUUGUCGGCCAGUAAAGAGCUUCGUAUGAGCUCUGAUCCCCUCCUCCUGAUGAAAGGCCCGCCCCUCAACCCCCGGUGGGUCUUAGGCUACGGGCACAUUCUCCACAUAGCGAGGGGCAGCAUAACAUGGAAAUAGUGGUGACGCGGGAAAACGUGGAAAUGAUCCCAAACAGCACACCUGCAUAACGAAAUGCACGGCUCUGGGGACCGUGACUUACCCAUCCGGAGUCGAAAGCAUGGGGGUGCGAACCACGGAUUAGUAUACUCAUGGUACUAAAACCCGUAACACGUUGGGCACUAGGGUGCGGGGAACAUUCCACGUUUUACCCCCCCACAGCUAUAUCGCAUAUAAGUGCCCCUAGCCUGCGGAUGUAUUUCGGCCCGCAAGCCUAAAACUCAAAGGAAUUGAAGGGGGCGCCGUCACAACGAGGCGCGAAGCACGCGGAUUAAUUCGUAGUGUCUAACGCGAAGAACCUUACUCAAGAGCUGUGACAUACACCCGACCGUGUCCCAGAGAUGGCUCUUUCACCCUUGUAUGGGCGCUGCUGUACUAGGUGGUGCAUGGUUGUCGUCAGCUCGUGUCGUGAGAUGUUGGGUUAAGUCCCGCAACGAGCGCAACCCUCGUUCUAUGUUGCCAGCACGUGAUGGUGGGGACUCAUAGGAGACUGCCGGGGUCAACUCGGAGGAAGGUGGGGAUGACGUCAAAUCAUCAUGCCCCUUAUGUCUUGGGCUUCACGCAUGCUACAAUGGCCAGUACAAUGGGUUGCGAUGCCGCGAGGUGGAGCUAAUCCCAAAAAGCUGGUCUCAGUUCGGAUCGUGGUCUGCAACUCGACCACGUGAAGUCGGAGUCGCUAGUAAUCGCAGAUCAGCAACGCUGCGGUGAAUACGUUCCCGGGCCUUGUACACACCGCCCGUCAAGUCACGAAAGUUGGUAACACCCGAAGCCGGGGCCUAACCCUUGUGGGGGGAGCCUCGAAGGUGGACGGCGAGGACC
rnacentral:rRNA from 1 species